rnacentral:tRNA from 1 species
GGCCGGGGAACACCACGACUGCCUGCGAUUAACGGCGGCAAGUCACUGUCAUCACAGCCGAUUCUCUCGGUCGACGUCUUGAAAAUCCCCGUGUCGGCGGUUCGAUUCCGUCCCCGGCCACCA